UGGCUGGAGCUUGCCGGCGAUGGCGGAUGUGGAGCUUCACCACCAUCCGCAGCCCCAAACCGUGAUCCAGUUCUUCGUGAGGCUCUCGAGCUUGUAUUUUUUUCGAGUUCAUCUAAUGUUAGGGACAGUCAUCCGGGUGCAUGGGAGCAACUGCUGAUGGACGACGAGUCAAAGUGUUGUGACUGGCUGCUGCAGAUCCUCUGAUGGAGGUUCAAUGAUUGUCCUGGCGCAAGUUCAAGAGUUCAGCCUGCGUGAGUCGUCCAUCAUCUUCCCUCAUCUAGC